GACAGAGGGUGCGAGCGUUACUCGGAAUUACUGGGCGUAAAGCGCGUGUAGGCGGCUGUGCAAGUCGGAUGUGAAAUCCCGUGGCUCAACCACGGAAGUGCACCCGAAACUGCGCAGCUGGAGUCUCGGAGAGGAAGGUGGAAUGCUUGGUGUAGAGGUGAAAUUCGUAGAUAUCAAGCGGAACACCGGUGGCGAAGGCGGCCUUCUGGACGAUGACUGACGCUGAGACGCGAAAGCGUGGGGAGCAAACAGG
rnacentral:rRNA from 1 species